AACCCGCUCUCCGGAAACCAACCUGCCCUUGAAUAUUAACAUCCUGACAACUUCAUCAUCAUGAACCUGCUCGCCUGCGGGGACUGUCUUCCUCGUGGACGAUUGGCACUCGCCCCCUUGACCUCUCCCUCUCCCUGUCCCCUGCUGCCUUCCUCUGCUGUCUCUAAAGAGAGUCACACCCCAAAGCCUCUUUAUUCUCUUCGGUAUGUUAUUCUCACUUUUAUUACCUUGGUUUCGUUUAAUUGGUUAUUUUACACCCUGCUAUGUACUAUUGAGUUUGUGUUUGGCCUUCUGCCUCGGUCCGUGGUUUGCUUCCGGUUUGCGGAUUGUACUGAGUAGACACGCAUGGUUACCACCCUGCAUGCUUCCAGAGCUAAGCGUGUCAGUAGCAUGUGAACUUGGCUGUUCUGACAGCUGUCUGGAGUCUGAGACUGCCCGAGAGCAGUGUCUGUUAGCAGGCCUUGGGCUGUGAGACACAGGCUCCCGGUGCCCUCUAAAGAAACCUGGCCCACCGGGAGCUGGGGACAAGACGGGUGGGUGGUGGGUUGGUGGGCGGGAGAGGUUAGGAGACCAGGCAGCUUAGAGACUCACUUGGGUUUGUUUCCAAGGCGUCUACGGUGAUGUGCAGCGGGUGAAGAUCCUGUUCAACAAGAAGGAGAACGCACUUGUGCAGAUGGCAGACGGCAGCCAGGCCCAGCUGGGUGAGAACCACCAUAGGGCCCGGGCUGGGGCUGGGGCUGGGGCUGGGGCUGGGUGCCAGUGGACCGAGCAUCCCACUCACAUGGCUCCCAUCCUUUUUGUCCAGCCAUGAGCCACCUGAACGGGCACAAGCUGCAUGGGAAGUCAGUGCGCAUCACCCUGUCAAAGCACCAGAGUGUGCAGCUGCCUCGUGAGGGACAGGAGGACCAGGGCCUGACCAAGGACUAUGGCAGCUCACCGCUGCACCGCUUCAAGAAACCUGGCUCCAAGAACUUUCAGAACAUCUUUC
rnacentral:lncRNA from 1 species